UGGGAUUUUAUGGAGGAGGAAUCCUGGAAAGGCCUCAGCCUAACCCACACGUUGGAGGUGUCCUGGAGCCGUCUGCCUUUAAGCCCAUGCAAGGUCGUUUUCUCUGCCUCAACAAGGGUCUGUACCCAUUAUAUUCCCAUCUGCUUUCAAAAUCUAACUGGAGGUUUUUUCUUGACACUGUAGGGGUUCAUUAGACCAGUCAUUAAAGGAUACACUGAAGAAAUUUUCCAUCGAGAAACGCUUUGCCUACUGGUCAGGGUAUGUCAAGUCAUUGGCAGUUCACGUGGCCGAAACAGAAGGCAGCAGCUGCACCUCCUUGUUAGAGUACCAGAUGCUGGUGUCCGCCUGGAGGAUGCUUCUCAUCAUUGCCACCACUCAUGCAGAUAUAAUGCACCUGACUGACUCUGUGGUGCGUCGCCAGCUCUUUCUUGACGUGCUUGAUGGAACCAAAGCGUUACUCCUAGUUCCAGCCUCAGUGAAUUGCCUUCGCCUCGGCUCCAUGAAGUGCACUCUGCU
rnacentral:sRNA from 1 species